rnacentral:rRNA from 1 species
UACGUAGGUCCCGAGCGUUGUUCGGAUUUAUUGGGCGUAAAGCGAGCGCAGGUGGUUUAUUAAGUCUGGUGUAAAAGGCAGUGGCUCAACCAUUGUAUGCAUUGGAAACUGGUAGACUUGAGUGCAGGAGAGGAGAGUGGAAUUCCAUGUGUAGCGGUGAAAUGCGUAGAUAUAUGGAGGAACACCGGUGGCGAAGGCGGCUCUCUGGCCUGUAACUGACACUGAGGCUCGAAAGCGUGGGGAGCAAACAGG